GCACCGGUGGUGCAUGGUGCACACACCAAUAAAGUUUGUACAAGGAUUUUGAUUUGUUAAUGGUGAAGGGGUUCGAGUCCCCGCCGGUGCU